AUUGAACGCUGGCGGCAGGUCUAACACAUGCAAGUCGACCGCGUGCCGGACGGGUGAGUAAUGUCUGGGAAACUGCCUGAUGGAGGGGGAUAACUACUGGUAACGGUAGCUACUACCGCAUACCACAGGCUGUGCCCAGAUGGGAUUAGCUAGUAGGUGGGGAAACGCGUCACCUACGCGACGAUCCCUAGCUGGUCUGAGAGGAUGACAAGCCACACUGGAACUGAGACACGGUCCAGACUCCUACGUGAGGCAGCAGUGGGGAAUAUUGCACAAUGGGCGCAAGCCUGAUGCAGCCAUGCCGCGUGUAUGAAGAAGGCCUUCGGGUUGUAAAGUACUUUCAGCGAGGAGGCGUUACUCGCAGAAGAAGCACCGGCUAACUCCGUGCCAGCAGCCGCGGUAAUUC
rnacentral:rRNA from 1 species